UGGGGAAUUUUGGACAAUGGGCGCAAGCCUGAUCCAGCCAUGCCGCGUGUCUGAAGAAGGCCUUCGGGUUGUAAAGGACUUUUGUCAGGGAAGAAAAGGGCGGGGUUAAUACACCUGUCUGAUGACGGUACCUGAAGAAUAAGCACCGGCUAACUACGUGCCAGCAGCCGCGGUAAUACGUAGGGUGCGAGCGUUAAUCGGAAUUACUGGGCGUAAAGCGGGCGCAGACGGUUACUUAAGCAGGAUGUGAAAUCCCCGGGCUCAACCUGGGAACUGCGUUCUGAACUGGGUGACUAGAGUGUGUCAGAGGGAGGUAGAAUUCCACGUGUAGCAGUGAAAUGCGUAGAGAUGUGGAGGAAUACCGAUGGCGAAGGCAGCCUCCUGGGAUAACACUGACGUUCAUGCCCGAAAGCGUGGGUAGCAAACA
rnacentral:rRNA from 1 species